rnacentral:lncRNA from 1 species
UCAUCGCUUGACUCUUUUACCCAACAACCUGUUCUUGUUUUAUGGAUAUAACAUUCUCAUUUCUAAGGAUUAACAUGUUUGCUUGGGAAAUGCUUGCAUGAGGUUUACUCUUUAUUGAGAUUUGUGCUUUUCUUGACAUUAAUUUUCCUUAAAUGCUUGGUGAUUUUUAAUUUUGGGCUUGUAUUUGUACCUGAAAACUCCUAUUUGUUUACCUAUGGAUCAAAGUUCUGAUUACAAGAGUUUGCCUCUGAUAACCACUGAAGAGGAUUAUGCUUCUGGACACAGCAUGUGAUGUGGAUGGGUGCCUUCCAGAGGGAGUGGCUUUCCCUUCCACCUGUACAUUCAGAUUUCUUGCUAUUCAGGACCUUACUGUGCUUUUGUCACCAAAAAUGCUCUGGCCUAGGGCACCUACUUACAGACAGUUUACUAUGAGGAAGAUGGGGGAGGGGUGAAGCUGGCUGGCUGCCAGUGCCCCCAGAUAAUCACCCUGAGGCUCAGGCUCCUUCCUGCUCCUGAUUUCCAUAAACACAGAGCUCUCUCAGAACUCAGAGCUACCUUCCCAGAAGACUUUUCCUGUCGCCCUUUUAGCCUUUCUUUUCCUUUAGUCUUACUUUAUUUACACACACACACACACACACACACACACACACACACAUUUGUAGCUGUAGUUGGACACAAUGCCUUUAAUUUUAUUUAUUUUUAUGUGGUGCUGAGGAUUGAACCCAGGGCCUCACACGUGCUAGACGAGUGCUCCACCACUGAGCCCCAGCCCCCGCCAUAGACUUUUAGGAUUUGUUCUUAAUUUCAGACUGUCAAAAGUUUAUGACAGGAGGUUAUGCCUAAACAUCAGAUGUCAGGCCACGGGUGUAAUCUCCAUUCCCAUAUCACAUUACAUUCCUGGCUAUGAACUAUAAAAUAGUUGUUCUGCA